CAGCAGCCGCGGGAAUACGGAGGGUGCAAGCGUUAAUCGGAAUUAUUGGGCGUAAAGAGCUCGUAGGCGGUUUGUCGCGUCUGCCGUGAAAGUCCGGGGCUCAACCCCGGAUCUGCGGUGGGUACGGGCAGACUAGAGUUAUGUAGGGGAGACUGGAAUUCCUGGUGUAGCGGUGAAAUGCGCAGAUAUCAGGAGGAACACCGAUGGCGAAGGCAGGUCUCUGGGCAUUAACUGACGCUGAGGAGCGAAAGCAUGGGGAGCGAACAGGAUUAGAUACCCGGGUAGUCCCUGUCUCUUAUAC
rnacentral:rRNA from 1 species